AUGUUCCAAACAAACCGACCCAACCUUCUGAACCAGCUCAAAUCCGCGGUCAAACAGCCGACGGCGCAGGGAGAGAAGGCCAUGACCCUGCUGGAGUGUGGGGGGGACCUCCAGCCCCCCGGGGGGUCCCUGACUCUGCUCUGCCGCGGGAAUGGAUUCGAUUUCGGGAGUUUUGGAAUGGGUUGGAUGCGACAGAGUCCCGGGAAAGCGCUGGAAUACGUUGCAAGUAUCAACAGCAAUGGUGGUAGCACCGUGUACGCGCCCUCGGUCAAGGGCCGGUUCUCGAUCUCCAGGGACAACGGGCAGAGCUCGGUGACGCUGACCAUGAACAACCUCAAGGACGAGGAUUCCGCCGUUUAUUUCUGCGCCAAACGUGCUUAUAGUGGUGCUUAUGUUGCUGCUGCUGCUGCUUAUAUUGAUGGAUUGGGCCCCAUCCCCAUCAGGGUGUCCCCAUCUGUUCCCACUUGCCCCAGGACCCCUCCCCCAAACCCCAACCCCUGA